rnacentral:tRNA from 1 species
GCCUGAGUGGCGGAAUAGGUAGACGCACAGGACUUAAAAUCCUGCGUGGUUAAUCCCACGUGCCGGUUCAAGUCCGGCCUUAGGCA